rnacentral:tRNA from 1 species
UGGCUCAGUGGUUAAGAGCACUGGAUGCUCUUCCAGAGGUCCUGAGUUCGAUUCCCAG